GCUCCGCUCGCACAAUCGGCCGUGCACCCGGCUCUUAACCGGGCAUGAAUCUGGGUUCGAGUCCCAGGCGGAGCA
rnacentral:tRNA from 1 species